GAUGAACGCUGGCGGCGUGCCUAAUACAUGCAAGUCGAGCGAACAGAUGAGGAGCUUGCUCCUCUGACGUUAGCGGCGGACGGGUGAGUAACACGUGGAUAACCUACCUAUAAGACUGGGAUAACUUCGGGAAACCGGAGCUAAUACCGGAUAAUAUAUUGAACCGCAUGGUUCAAUAGUGAAAGACGGUUUUGCUGUCACUUAUAGAUGGAUCCCCGCCGCAUUAGCUAGUUGGUAAGGUAACGGCUUACCAAGGCAACGAUGCGUAGCCGACCUGAGAGAGUGAUCGGCCACACUGGAACUGAGACACGGUCCAGACGCCUACGGGAGGCAGCAGUAGGGAAUCUUCCGCAAUGGGCGAAAGCCUGGCGGAGCAACGCCGCGUGAGUGAUGAAGGUCUUCGGAGCGUAAAACUCUGUUAUUAGGGAAGAACAAAUGUGUAAGUAACUAUGCACGUCUUGACGGUACCUAAUCAGAAAGCCACGGCUAACUACGUG
rnacentral:rRNA from 1 species